UCAAACCCCAGCUCCCCCUGACCAAGUGUUGAGGUAUCUUUGAGCGAGACAUCUACACCCCAACUGCUCCCGAUGAGCUGGGUGGCUCUCGCAUGGCUGACAGUGUAUGAAUAGGUGAAUGUUUCACAACUUGUAAAUGUCAUGAACUGAGGGUAGUAGUUAUAGUGGACCGGCAUUCGUCAAACUUUUAUGACCCCCUCCCCCACCCGGUGACAGUUGCUGUCUGACAGGUCGUUUUUAUGACCCUUUGACAGGGGGGCGGGACCAUCAAUCAAAAUCUGUACAAGUUGUCAACUUUAGACAGAAAGUAUUUAAUGGUUUUAUGACGGGUCAUUUAGUGGUUUGUUUAUUCCUGAGUGUGUUUUAUGUCAAGCGUAUGCUGUCAUUAAACAUGACGGCUCGUGUGUGACAUUUGCUGUCUAUCACCCCUCCCUUUUCGACCCGUGCGCUUCUCAAUACGGCCUGCAUUUCUUUCACAGGGGUGCGUGUUGUAAAGCGAUUAAAGAUUUCUAAAACUCAAUGUUGGUAAAACAAUCCCCCAUUACGGUGUCAAAAAAGUAAAUGUUUAUUUUAGAUUUUAGACAAAUCAUGAACAAUGCGACGAUUAAAACAUUUGUUUGUAACAUCACAAGUUAUUUAAUGAAAUAUACCGUAUACGUGUAUAGUUUAAGCAAUGAUCUGAGCCAUAACCUUCGGAGCCGGCAAUACUAUAAUCUUUAGACGAAAGUCUAAACUAAAUAAAUUUUUAAACGGUUCAGGAAUUCCGUGAAUCUUUUCAUAACCUGCACUAUAGUUUCACGCGUAUUAAAGAUCCGGCGGUGCCUGACAAAGCGCCGGGUGAGCGUUCAUAUCUGCCAUUUUAAAAUAAUGUUAAUAAAUGUAAUUCUGUCCACUAUGGCAAAAUAGGAUUUUAUUUUAGAUUUAGGGGAAUCUUUAACCAAGUCUCUGAUUAAGACAUGUGUAUACGUGCACAGAUGGUGACAGAGAAACUUAUAUAUGACGUUAAUAAACUUUUAAAUGUUUUUAAGACUUAUUCACCCCAUUUUGGGGUUUUAUUUUUAAUUAAAGGCUUCUUAAAACAUGUGUGAAUAUGUGUAUAUUAUACAAAGAGUCUUAUAUUGUCUGCUCUGACAAAAAUAAAUUAUUAUUUUAGGUUUAGGGGAAUUGACUGCGUGUGUCUUAUAAAUACAACUUGAUAAUACGUUUGUUUUGUAAAGAGACUUCUUUAAAGGCACGCAAGAAUAAAAUAUUUUAGUUGUAACUGGUUAAACUUAAAGCCGAUAUUUUCUAUCGAACUAGUCUAUUUUCUGUUCAGACACAAAGUUUUCUGAUGCUGAUAUUAUGUCAGUGUGUGUUUGUGUGGGGGUCGUGUGAUGUAAUCUUUGAAAGUUUAUGACCGAACCUUUAUUGGGGAGCGACAAGAGAUCUCCCGGAAUCAGUUUGGAUGGAGCAGAGCUGUUAUACUCAAGUCUAUUGCGAAAUUGUCUAAACUGGUGUUUAACUAUUCCUGGUAAAUCGCGGAGAAGAGUGGCCUGAACAAAAAAGUCAGACCGAGACUAGAACAUCCCGCAGCGUAACACGGAAAUCUUGGAACAAAAGAGACGCAGAGUGGAUCGUGUUGUCCGGUUUGGAUAUCAGCGGCAAAGCGAACGUUGUGUGUACUAUUG